rnacentral:rRNA from 1 species
GAUGAACGCUGGCGGCGUGCCUAACACAUGCAAGUCGAGCGAGAUAAAUGUGAGUGGAGACUUCGGUCAAAGCAAUCAUUUUGAAAGCGGCGGACGGGUGAGUAACGCGUGAGCAAUCUGCCCCAUACAAAGGGAUACCCACUGGAAACGGUGAUUAAUACCUUAUAAGACCACGAAGUCGCCUGGCUUAGUGGCCAAAGGUUUAUCGGUAUGGGAUGAGCUCGCGUCUGAUUAGCUAGUUGGGGAGGUAAUGGCUCACCAAGGGGACGAUCAGGAGACGAGCUGAGAGGGUGAACAGCCACACUGGAACUGAGACACGGGCCAGACUCCUACGGGAGGCAGCAGUGGGGAAUAUUGCACAAUGGGCGAGCCUGAUGCAGCAACGCCGCGUGAAUGAUGAAGGCCUUCGGGUCGUAAAGUUCUGUCCUAAGGGAAGAAUACAGUGACGGUACCUUAGGAGGAAGCCCCGGCUACUACGUGCCAGCAGCCGCGGUAA